UUCCGGUUGAUCCUGCCGGAGGCGACCGCUUUUGGAGUUCGAUUAAGCCAUGCGAGUAGAAUGAAUUAGAUCAUUGCGAACUGCUCAGUAACACGUGGAUAACCUGCCCUAUGCUCUGGGAUAACCUUGGGAAACUGAGAAUAAUACCGGAUAGAUCACAACGCCUGGAACGGUGUGUGGUUGAAAGGUCACGGCAUAGGAUGGGUCUGCGGCGUAUCAGGUCGUAGGGGGUGUAAUGGACCUCCUAGCCAUCGACGCGUACGGGUUGUGGGAGCAAUAGCCCGGAGAUGGAUUCUGAGACACGAAUCCAGACCCUACGGGGUGCAGCAGGCGCGAAAACUUCACACUGCAGGAAACUGUGAUGAGGGAACUCCAAGUGACUACACAUUUGUGUAGCUCUUUUCUUAACUAUUAAUCGGUUUGGGAAUAAGGGCUGGGAAAGACCGGUGCCAGCCGCCGCGGUAAUACCGGCAGCUCGAGUGGUCGUCGCUUUUAUUGGGCCUAAAACGUCCGUAGCCUGUUUGGUAAAUCUGUGGGUAAAUCAACCAGCUUAACUGGUUGAAUUCUGCAGAGACUGCCAGACUAGGGACCGGGAGAGGUGUGGGGUACUCUAGGGGUAGGGGUAAAAUCCUGUCAUCCUUAGAGGACCACCAGUUGCGAAGGCGCCACACUAGAACGGAUCCGACGGUCAGGGACGAAGCCUAGGGGCACGAACCGGAUUAGAUACCCGGGUAGUCCUAGGUGUAAACGCUGUGAACUUGGUGUCGGGAGUCCGCAAUGGGCCCCCGGUGCCGGAGUGAAGAUGUUAAGUUCACUGCCUGGGAGUACGGUCGCAAGGCUGAAACUUAAAGGAAUUGGCGGGGGAGCACUGCAACGGGAGGAGCGUGCGGUUUAAUUGGAUCAACGCCGGA
rnacentral:rRNA from 1 species